rnacentral:rRNA from 1 species
UACGUAGGGCGCAAGCGUUGUCCGGAAUUAUUGGGCGUAAAGAGCUCGUAGGCGGUUUGUCGCGUCUGCUGUGAAAUCCCGAGGCUCAACCUCGGGCUUGCAGUGGGUACGGGCAGACUAGAGUGCGGUAGGGGAGACUGGAAUUCCGUGGUGUAGCGGUGGAAUGCGCAGAUAUCAGGAGGAACACCGAGUGGCGAAGGCG